rnacentral:rRNA from 1 species
UACGUAGGGUGCAAGCGUUGUCCGGAAUUAUUGGGCGUAAAGCGCGUGUAGGCGGCCACACAGGUCCGCUGUGAAAACUCGAGGCUCAACCUCGAGCUGUCGGUGGAAACCGUGUGGCUAGAGUCCGGAAGAGGAGACUGGAAUUCCCGGUGUAGCGGUGGAAUGCGCAGAUAUCGGGAGGAACACCUGUGGCGAAAGCGGCGCACUGGACCACAUCUGACGCUGAGGCGCGAAAGCUAGGGGAGCAAACAGG